CACUACACUGCUUAAACGUAAUGAUAUAAUUUAAUAUAUAAACACUGCUCUUGUUCUAUAAGUAGAUGUUACAAUCUGGUUUUUAUCAUUCACAAAGCAAAUUAGUAUCAAGAUACUAAUUAAGUACAUGAUAAUACCAGUACUCGACUCUCAAAAUUUCUAGUUAUUAUGGCAUCAGCCAAAGUUUCAUUUUUCCUUGGUUUCAUCAUUGCUUCACUUCUUCUCCUAUCAAUGAGUUUGGAGUCUUUGGACGCUAUUUCUCAUCCGUGUUCAGGACAUGAGGGGCUUGUUCCGGCUGAAAAUGGAGUUUCUUGUGGUGAGAGUGGUAUGUAUACGGUUUCUUCGGACUUCGCCCAUAAAGAGGUUGCCUGCGACCCCGCCUGUUGGCCCGACUGUGCUUGCAAAUGAAUCGUUUUAAGUGACCCAAUAACCUAUAUGGUUGUGUUGUUGUUAUAUAUGUAAUUCCUGGUUUGCUUCUUCUAGCUAGAUGUUAUUGUUGUUUGUUUAUUAUUCCAUGUUAUUGUUGUAAUAAUAUGAUUGCGCUGUCUUAGAUAGCAAAGAAUAAAAAUGACAGUUGGUAUCA